UGAGGAGAAUGUUAUGAGACCGGAUGAGCUGUAUUUCAUGUCUGUUUGGUGUCAUUUCAUAUAUUCCAGUAAAUGCGAUGAGUGAGCUCAGCCUACGUCUCCGUGUUGUCCUUUCCGGAAGGGUCGAAAGAAAGAACCAGAAAAGUGGGGUUACACAAGCAUUGCCACAAACUGCUGCUGAUAGAAUGAGAUUUAUGCAUGUUGAUGCUCAAUGCUGCUGUUUGAAACUGUCAUGUGCUUCAGGACUGAACAGACA